AAAGGGUAGGGAACUUCCUUCCUGCCCCCUCCGAGUUUUGCCUCUCUCACUGGCAGCAACCCAGCGCUUCCAUUGCUGACCUCUACCGACCUCUACCUGUGGUCCUUCCUCUACUGCAGCAGAGACACUGUUUUCUUCCUUUGUUCUUCCAACCCCAUGGCACAGAAACACUCUCCACUGCGGCCAAGGAUUGCAGGAGAGGUGGCAUCAGUGAUUCAAGACUUCUUUUCCUACCUCUUCAGUGUUUCUUUCAGUGAUCUGAAGUUAAAGCCAGGGGGAAUAUCACAGAAGUGAAGUGCAAUUCUCAUCAUGUCAUAUCAAGAGCACACACUAACAAACAACAUGACUUAUUGCUGAAUAUUGAACUUGAUCACCUGGCUGAGGUAGUGUUUGCCAGAUUUCUCUGUAAAGGUGAAUAAACUGACACUGGAACAUUCAGGAACUUCUUCAUGGUCAUGGUCACCCAGCUAGAGUGUGGAAGCCAGGCUGUCUGAUUCCAGGAUCUGUGUUCUUAAUCCUAUACAUAAGGAAGCCAUAAUGAGUCAACCACUAUUUUUAAGAUUCACAGAUGUUCGGGUCCAAUUCACCAGAAUGCCAAGUUAUACAGGGUUGUGGAAUCAAAAACUGCAAUUAGUAAUAAAAUGUGAUGCUAUCUAGAAUGUUUUUCAUACAUAUAUAUGCUUCUUGGGACUCUCCCUGCAGGUUAAGAGAAAUUGAGAAACGAUGGAGAAUUUAAGUGUUUUAGAUCCUACAUACAUUAGACUUAAAAAUAGUAACUAUGUACAUGAGUAUUUGUAAACUUAAGAAUGAACAUAACAUGAACCAUGUGGCACCUAUAAAAUGAAAAUAAAAUACCUACAAACCAAAUGAGAGCAAUAAAAGAAGCUUUAAGGACUUUCACUUCAGGGAGUCUGAAUUAGAUGCGCUUCUUCCCAUUCCUCCCUCUAAUUACAACAAGCUUGGACGUUACAUACAGAACAAACAGAAGGAGUCUCUGAAAGAUGAAGAGAAGGCAAGUAAGCUACAGACUUCACAAUGUAAGGAAUAAUAUGGUGGUCUAGUGGUGGUAAACUCCCUCCAUUUUCCUUUUCUGGGAAAGUCUUCAUCUCUCCUUAAUUUCUGAAGAACAGCUUUGUCAGGUAAAGUAUUCUGGGUUUACAUUUUUUUUCUUUCAGCACUUUAAAUGAAUAUUAUUCCAUUCUCUCUUGGCCUGCAAAGUUUCUGCUGAGAAAUUCACUGAUAGGCUUGAGAAGUUCCCCUGUAUGUGAGGAUCCUUUUUUAUCUUGCUGCUUUAAAAAAUUAUCUUUCGACAAUUUGCUUAUGAUAUGUCUUCUUUUGGUUGAAUCUAGCUAGAGAUCUGAGAUUCCUGUGCCUGGGUGUUUAUAUCUGAGAUUGGGGAAGUUUUCAGACAUUAAUUCUUUAAAUAAAUUUUGUCUCUAUUCUCCUUGAAUUCUACAAUGUACAUGUUAGCUCUUUUGAAGAUAUCCCAUAAAUCUUGUAGGCUUUUCGCUCCUUUUUAUUUUCUCCUCUGAUCAAAUAUUUUCAAAUAUCCAGCGUUUGAGUUUACCAAUUUGUUUUUCUGCUUGAUCAGUUCUGUUAAUAGUCUCUAUUGUGCUUUUUCAUUUUAUUCAUUGUAUUAUUUAGCUCCAGGUUGUUUGGUUCUUUUGAAUUAUUCCCACCCCUCUGUUAAACUUCUAGUUUUAUUUGUAUUGACUUUCUGAUUUCAUUGAGUUGUCUCUGUUCUCCUGUAGUUCACUGAGCUUCCUUAAAAUAAUUAUUUUGAUUUUUCUUUCUUUUUUUUUUUUUAAGACAACAGAAAUAUAUUUUCUCACACUUCUGGAGGCUGGAAAUACAAAAUCAAGAUGUUGGCAGGACAACACUCCCUCCAAGACUUCGAGAAGAAGAUCCUUGCCUUUGAGCUUCUAAUGGCGCCAGGCUUCCCUGGCAUGUGGUUGCACAACUCCAAUCUCAAUCUCAUCUUCCUGUGCUGUCUUGCCUGUGUCUAUAUGUCUCCGUCUUCAUAUGGCAUUCUCCUCCCUGUGCCUCCAUUUUCUCUUUUUUUUUUAUUAUUAUACUUUAAGUUUUAGGGUACAUGCACACAACGUGCAGGUUUGUUACAUAUGUAUACAUAUGCCAUGUUGGUGUGCUGCCUCCAUUAACUCGUCAUUUAGCAUUAGGUAUAUCUCCUAAUGCUAUCCCUCCCCCCUCCCCCCACCCCACAAAAGUCUCCAGUGUGUGAUGUUGCCCUUCCUGUGUCCAUGUGUUCUCAUUGUUCAAUUCCCACCUAUGAGUGAGAACAUGCGGUGUUUGGUUCUUUGUCCUUGUGAUAGUUUGCUGAGAAUGAUGGUUUCCAGUUUCAUCCAUGUCACUACAAAGGACA
rnacentral:lncRNA from 10 species